AUUGAACGCUGGCGGAAUGCUUUACACAUGCAAGUCGAACGGCAGCACGGGGGCAACCCUGGUGGCGAGUGGCGAACGGGUGAGUAAUACAUCGGAACGUGCCCGGUCGUGGGGGAUAACGUAGCGAAAGUUACGCUAAUACCGCAUACGAUCUGAGGUUGAAAGCGGGGGACCUUCGGGCCUCGCGCGAUCGGAGCGGCCGAUGUCAGAUUAGGUAGUUGGUGGGGUAAAGGCCUACCAAGCCGACGAUCUGUAGCUGGUCUGAGAGGACGACCAGCCACACUGGGACUGAGACACGGCCCAGACUCCUACGGGAGGCAGCAGUGGGGAAUUUUGGACAAUGGGCGCAAGCCUGAUCCAGCCAUUCCGCGUGCAGGACGAAGGCCUUCGGGUUGUAAACUGCUUUUGUAUGGAACGAAAAGGCUCUGGCUAAUACCUGGGGCUCAUGACGGUACCGUAAGAAUAAGCACCGGCUAACUACGUG
rnacentral:rRNA from 1 species